rnacentral:rRNA from 1 species
UACGUAGGGCGCAAGCGUUGUCCGGAAUUAUUGGGCGUAAAGAGCUCGUAGGCGGCCAGUUGCGUCUGCUGUGAAAUCCCGGGGCUUAACCCCGGGCGUGCAGUGGAUACGGGCUGGCUGGAGGCAGGCAGGGGAGAACGGAAUUCCCGGUGUAGCGGUGAAAUGCGCAGAUAUCGGGAGGAACACCGGUGGCGAAGGCGGUUCUCUGGGCCUGUACUGACGCUGAGGAGCGAAAGCGUGGGGAGCGAACAGG